rnacentral:rRNA from 1 species
AGAGUUUGAUCCUGGCUCAGGACGAACGCUGGCGGCGCGCCUAAAACAUGCAAGUCGAACGAGAAGCCCGGGCUUGCCCGGGUGAACAGUGGCGAACGGGUGAGUAACACGUGAGGAACCUGCCCCGAAGACCGGGACAACACCGGGAAACCGGUGCUAAUACCGGAUGCCUUCACCGGAUCGCAUGGUCUGGUGAAGAAAUGGAUUCCGCUUCGGGAUGGCCUCGCGGCCUAUCAGCUUGUUGGUGAGGUAACGGCUCACCAAGGCAACGACGGGUAGCUGGUCUGAGAGGAUGUCCAGCCACACUGGGACUGAGACACGGCCCAGACUCCUACGGGAGGCAGCAGUUAGGAAUCUUGCGCAAUGGACGAAAGUCUGACGCAGCGACGCCGCGUGCGGGAUGAAGGCCCUCGGGUUGUAAACCGCUUUCAGCAGGGACGAAAUUGACGGUACCUGCAGAAGAAGCCCCGGCCAACUACGUGCCAGCAGCCGCGGUAAU